AUGCCCUGGACCAGACCGGACCUGACGGAUCAACCCCUCCGGGAUGAGGAUGUCACCUGGUACACUGACGGCAGCAGCUUUCUGCGGGAAGGUGAGCGAAAGGCGGGUGCAGCGGUAACCACGGAGACCGAGGUGAUCUGGGCACAGCCUCUGCCUGCGGGGACUUCUGCGCAGCGAGCAGAGCUUGUCGCCUUGACACAAGCUUUGAGGAUGGCAGAAGGUAAGAAGCUCAAUGUCUAUACUGACAGCCGAUAUGCUUUUGCCACUGCUCAUGUUCAUGGGGAAAUAUACAGAAGAAGAGGGCUACUGACUUCAGAAGGAAAGGAAAUUAAAAAUAAAACAGAGAUCUUAGCCUUGUUAAAAGCUUUAUUUCUGCCUCGGAAACUGAGCAUUAUACAUUGCCCAGGACACCAGAAAGGAGACAGCCCUGAGGCUCGAGGAAACCGGCUGGCUGAUGAAGCCGCCAAACAGGUGGCCCUGCAGGCUCCGCUAGCCAUACUGCCCAUACACCAAGAUAAGAGAGACCCCCUCAAAUAUGAUGAGGAGGAUCUAAAGCUCCUGGCAGACAUGGGAGCGGAGCAGGACCAGAAAACGGGCGAAUGGACAUGGAAGGGAAAAACAGUGAUGCCGAUGGCAUACACUUAUAAGAUGCUUGAUUACUUACAUAAAUUGACCCAUCUAAGCCCCCGAAAGAUGAAAACUUUGUUAGACCGGCAGGAAACUUUUUGCUAUUUAUUAGGGCGAGACAGCAUCCUCCAAAAAGUUAUGGACAAAUGUAGAGCAUGUGCACAGGUAAAUGCAGGAAAAACCAAGGUGGGACAGGGGGUGCGAAUCCGCGGACAUCGACCAGGAGUACAAUGGGAAAUUGACUUUACUGAAAUAAAACCAGGCAUGUAUGGAUACCGGUACUUAUUGGUAUUUGUGGACACCUUUUCGGGAUGGGUGGAAGCCUUCCCGACCAAGCAUGAGACCGCAAAAAUUGUGACCAAAAAGCUGCUGGAAGAAAUCUUCCCCAGGUAUGGCAUGCCCCAAGUGCUGGGCACUGAUAAUGGACCUGCCUUCGUCUCCCAGGCACUCCAGAUCGUGCAGAGAGAGGUCUGGAAGCCACUCGCUGCAGCCUAUAAGGAACAAUUAGACAGACCAGCGGUACCUCACAGCUACCAGAUUGGCGAUACAGUUUGGGUCCACAGACAUCAGACUAAGAAUCUGGAACCCCGCUGGAAAGGACCCUACACCGUGCUGCUAACCACUCCAACGGCACUGAAAGUUGACGGCAUCGCGGCCUGGGUCCACGCCUCCCACGUAAAAACAGCUCGUACAGAAGGAGAUACAGCAGAACCACUAUGGAGGGUCCAGCGCUCUCAAAACCCUCUAAAGAUAAGACUUACCCGGGGGCCCCAUUGACUGGUUUAUGGAUCUUGUUGGGACUAGGGAUGAUAGUCCGGGGAGACAGCCCUCACCUGGUGGCCCCCACUUACCCCGGAUUUCUGCCAGCUUGCAGCAGGAUCAGAGAUAUGGGAUAUUCCUGAUUUGCUACCUACACAGUUAAAGGACCGGGCAGGCAGCCGCUUUUCUCCUGGGGGAAAAUUCGGC